CCCCAAUGUAUUAGUGGCAGACGGGUGAGUAAUGCAUAGGGAUCUACCUAGUAGUAUGGGAUAGCCACUAGAAAUGGUGGGUAAUACUGUAUAAUCCCUGCGGGGGAAAGAUUUAUCGCUAUUAGAUGAGCCUAUGUUAGAUUAGCUAGUUGGUAGGGUAAAGGCCUACCAAGGCGAUGAUCUAUAGCUGGUCUGAGAGGAUGAUCAGCCACACUGGAACUGAGAUACGGUCCAGACUCCUACGGGAGGCAGCAGUGGGGAAUAUUGGACAAUGGGCGCAAGCCUGAUCCAGCUAUGCCGCGUGAGUGAGGAAGGCCCUAGGGUUGUAAAACUCUUUCAGUAGGGAAGAUAAUGACGGUACCUAUAA
rnacentral:rRNA from 1 species